rnacentral:rRNA from 1 species
AGCAGCCGCGGUAAUUCCAGCUCCAGUAGCGUAUAUUAAAGUUGCUGCAGUUAAAAAAGCUCGUAGUUGAAUUUCUGUUUGUAAGAGUCGAAGCUUUUACAGCUAAGAUUUCUUCGAACAUCUGUUUGCAAGCAUACGUUCGGCCUUCACUGGUUGGCUAUGUAAGCAAGCGCUUUACCUUGAGAAAAUUAGAGUGUUCCAGGCAGGCUUCAGCCGGAAUACAUUAGCAUGGAAUAAUGGAAUAGGACUGGGGACUAUUUAUUGGUUUGAGGCUCCAGUAAUGAUUAAUAGGAACAGUCGGGGGCAUUGGUACUUAACAGUCAGAGGUGAAAUUCUUGGAUUUGUUAAAGACUAACUAAUGCGAAAGCAUUUGCCAAGCAUGUUUUCAUUAAUCAAGAACGAAAGUUAGGGGAUCAAAGACGAUUAGAUACCGUCCUAGUCUUAACUGUAAACGAUUCCAUCUUAGAAUUGGGUGAAUAUUUGAUGAUUCAUCCAGCGCUAUAAGAGAAAUC